AAAAUUUUCUGAACUAUUUUCCCCGGUAAAAAACGUGGAAAACUGCCUAAAACCGCGAUAAUCGCGCUGGGGAAAGAUCAGGUCGUGGAUUUCAGAUGGAAGAUCGUCUCCAAUGCGCCAGACGAACGUGGAAAAAGACCGGGAAACCGCACGACGGCCUCCACGCUCCGCUCAGCGCCAUUUUGUUUCGCUUUUUUGCUGUUACGCCGCUGUUAUUCAUCGUGCAUUUUUUCAUGCGCGCUCGCUUACACGUCGAUUUUAGAAGAGAGACUACUCUCUCCCACGCUCUCUCUCUGUUGCUCUCCACACCACCACACAUAUGAGACUAGCGCUCUCUCCGCUCUCACCAGCAGCGCAACAAUGGCCGUCUCUCUUCCACGCGGCCAGCCGGGACCGCGAGUUAGAGCGGUGCAGCAGUAGGCAGCAGGCGCGUGCGCCUCGUGCCCGAAAUGAGCAUGUGUGCGUGUGUAUUCGCAUUUCAGUAAUUUCGAAAAAAUUUUUGUAUAUUUGAUGGCGACAGCGACGGUUCGGCUGCUUUACUCACAAGAAACGCGCGUUUGUCGAAAAUCGUAGCGCGUACGUAUAUCGGUGUGUAGAAAUUACUAAAAAAUGAUGUUGCACUUAUAACAGUACAAUCUGAAUGUUGUAUAUGUUCAGUUUAAAUACAACAUACAACAAUAACAACAA